ensembl:lncRNA
GUUAGACAGUAAAUACAGAGUGGUCAUUAAGGAGCAGGUAGGGGUUAGACAGUGUUCACAGAGACAUGUCAUUAAGGAGCAAGUAGGGGUUAGACAGUGUUCACAGAGACAGGUCAUUAAGGAGCAGGUAGGGGUUAGACAGUGUUCACAGAGACAGGUAAUUAAGGACCAGGUAGGGGUUAGACAGUGAAUACAGAGACAGGUCAUUAAGGACCAGGUAGGGGUUAGACAGUGAACACAGACAGGUCAUUAAGGAGCAGGUAGGGGUUAGACAGUGAACACAGAGACAGGUCAUUAAGGAGCAGGUAGGGGUUAGACAGUGUUCACAGAGACAGGUCAUUAAGGAGCAGGGAGGGGUUAGACAGUAAAUACAGACAGCGGUCAUUAUUUUGUUCCUUUGUGCUUUCGGUCAUUCAUUCUUCUUCCUCUUGCCGAGCUCCUGUAAUAUAUUUUGAGUUAGUUU